AUGCACACAUACUGGUGUUUCUACACCCAGAUGAUAAAGAUCGACAAAAUCAUAUCAGCCGAAAUUCCUGAUAAGAAAAGUGAUCCAGAAGGGUACGAAGCAGUGCAAAAUUACAUGAUACAUGGUCCAUGUGGUCAAGCACACCCAAAAUCACCAUGCAUGGUCGAUAAAAGUUGUGCCAAACAUUUCCCCAAGAAUUUUUGCACUGAUACUACCAUAGAUGAAGAUAACUAUCCAGUAUAUAGAAGGCGAGAUGAUGGCAACACUGUGGACAAGAAUGGAGUGAAGCUAGACAAUAGAUUUGUUGUGCCAUACAAUAGAAACCUACUGGUUAAGUAUCAAGCCCACAUAAAUGUUGAAUGGUGCAACAGAUCAAGGUCUAUAAAGUAUUUAUUCAAAUACAUCCACAAAGGAGAAGAUCGAACAACCGUCUUGAUAGAAGCGGAAGACCAACAAAGUGAAACAAGAGCUAGCAAAUUAACAAACAGGGACGACGAAAUCAAGAGGUACCUUGAUGCCCGGUACAUAUCUGGAUGUGAAGCCGCAUGGCGCAUAUUUUAG
rnacentral:rRNA from 1 species